ACACACCAAGGAAUUAUAAUCUUAGAAACUCAGACUUUCUUAUACCGAGAUUUAAGUCUGUAAAAUUUGGAAAACACUCAUUAAGGUAUUAUGGACCUUACCUUUGGUCAAAAUUAAAAUCCGAAGACAGAAAUCAGACUUCGCUAUCUGCUUUUAAGCGUAGUAUCAGAAAAACAGACCUCAGUUGUAUUGCAUGAUAAACUCCAUAAUAAUAGUCUUAGUACUAAGCUGUAGUAAAAUAAUUAGUGUAUUAUAUAUGUAAUCAUAGCAGAAAUUUUAGUAAUAUACAAUAGGUGUAAAUUCAGUUGUUUAAGCUUAGUGUCCCCAAUUAGUAGGUUAUCUGUAACCGGCUAGAUGUAAAUGACACUUUAAUAAAGUUCCUAACUAACUAACUAA